rnacentral:tRNA from 1 species
GCCCGGGUAGCUCAGUGGCCAGAGCACUGGUCUCGUAAACCAGGGGUCGUGAGUUCAAACCUCACCUCGGGCA